UGUAGUCUGCAACUCGACUACAUGAAGCUGGAAUCGCUAGUAAUCGCGAAUCAGAAUGUCGCGGUGAAUACGUUCCCGGGUCUUGUACACACCGCCCGUCACACCAUGGGAGUCAGUAACGCCCGAAGCCGGUGACCUAACCGAAAGGGAGGAGCCGUCGAAGGUGGGACCGAUAACUGGGGUGAAGUCGUAACAAGGUACC
rnacentral:rRNA from 1 species